rnacentral:rRNA from 1 species
AUGGAUCAAGCUAGCUAUUCAUAUACUGAGCAUGGAUAUGAUGUAGCAAUGGAUGGCAUGAAAAGAGUGUGUGAGGCAGCUUGGAAAUGGCUUAGUAAGAUUCCCAAACAUACAUGGGCUAGACAUGCCAUGGACAAUAAUUGUAAAACUGAUUUGGUUGUCAACGAUAUUAGUGAAGUAUUUAACAAGAUGAUACUUGAUGUCAGAGGCAAGCCAAUCAAAACUAUGGUUGAUGGGAUCAGAACUAAGUUGCUAGUUAAGUUCAAUGCCAAUUGGACUAAGACUGAGACAACCAAGUGGCAGAUAUGCCCAACAUAUGCUGAAAAACUGGAAGAAGCAAAACAUCAUUCAAGAUAUUGUCAAUCUAUCAAAGCCGGACCUGAUCUAUACGAAGUUACAAGUGGAGAAAGUGCAUAUGCACUUAAUUUGCAAGCACACAUGUGGUUGUAG